UUCAUGUAUACAUUUUGUAUAUAUAUAUAUAUAUUUUCAAACAUUCAUCAAAUAUAUCAAGAUCAUUCCCACACUAGUGAACAUGGCUCAACGCAUACAACCACCAUCCUCAACUCAGCUCAUGUGCACUCCCACACCGCACAUAGCUAAUAUCCUCAUGUGCACUCCCACACCUCACAUGGAAAAUAUCAUGUACACUCCCACAUCGCACACAAAAGGCACCGUCACGUGCAUUCCCACACUGCACAUGCACGGUUAUAGUUAUCAUACAACAUUUUCAUGUAAGGCAUAACAUACAUAUCCACAUAAUAUAGGAACACAUGGUUUCAUUAUAUUACACAUUUCACAGCAUAAAAAUGUUUCAUCAAUGGCUUGUUCCCAUGCACAUUUUAAAGAAAAGACCAAUAAAAUAUUUUAAGUGAUUCAAUCAAACACAUGUGCAUUUAUCCCAAAACAUUUUAAUGCAAGUUCACUCACCUUGGUAAUGCCACCUUACAAAAUUAGCACCAAUAAGGCUUUACUCCAAGUUAAGUCUUGAAGUACCAUUAAAACCUAUAUCUGCCAAUAAACAAUAAUAGCUUCAAAUAUAUCAUAAAUUUGAACUCAAUAAUUCCAAUAAACACACACUAGAUAAACUACAUUCUAGCCUAAUAUUUAACCUAGAAUUCUAGUCUAAUUCAUAACCCACUAUACCAACUAUUCCAAUUUAAAGAUUCUUUACCUUAGUGAGCUUGGAGGCAUAAAGAUCAACAAAAACAUAAUAUUUCCAAGAAAAAGAAUUUGAAGAAAUUAGGAAAUAAAAUAUGAAAAUAUAACCCAUAAAUUCUAAAAUUCAAAACUUGAAAAUACAUACCUUUUGGCUUUAAAAAUGAAGGAAAGAAAGAGAGAUUUUUCUUUCUCUCUCCUAGGGUUUGGUUGUACUGAAAAUUAGGGUUAAAAGUUGUGGGUUUUGGUGCCUAAGAAGUUAGGAGAAGGAAGAAGUAAGAAAAGAAAGGAAAGGAAAUGAAAACAAGGAAAAGAAAAUGAAAGAAAAUUGAUUUUUCAUGAUGGAGAGAGAAAAUGGUGUGGGAGUAUGAAG
rnacentral:lncRNA from 1 species